rnacentral:rRNA from 1 species
UACGUAGGGGGCUAGCGUUGUCCGGAAUCAUUGGGCGUAAAGCGCGUGUAGGCGGUUCGGUAAGUCCGCUGUGAAAGUCGGGGGCUCAACCCUCGGAUGCCGGUGGAUACUGUCGAGCUUGAGUACGGAAGAGGCGAGUGGAAUUCCUGGUGUAGCGGUGAAAUGCGCAGAUAUCAGGAGGAACACCCGUGGCGAAAGCGGCUCUCUGGGACGGUACUGACGCUGAGACGCGAAAGCGUGGGGAGCAAACAGG